rnacentral:rRNA from 1 species
CGAAAGCUUGCUUUGUUGAUGGCGACCGGCGCACGGGUGAGUAACGCGUAUCCAACUUCCCCUUAGUAGGGCAUAGCCCGGCGAAAGUCGGAUUAAUACCCUAUGUUUUCCGUCGAGGGCAUCUGAAGUGGAAUAAAGAUUUAUCGCUAAGGGAUGGGGAUGCGUCUGAUUAGGUUGUUGGCGGGUAACGGCCCACCAAGCCAUCGAUCAGUAGGGGUUCUGAGAGGAAGGUCCCCCACAUUGGUACUGAGACACGGACCAGACUCCUACGGGAGGCAGCAGUGAGGAAUAUUGGUCAAUGGGCGCGAGCCUGAACCAGCCAAGUAGCGUGCAGGAUGACUGCCCUAUGGGUUGUAAACUGCUUUUAUGGGGGAAUAAAGUGAGGGACGGGUCCCUUUUUGUAUGUACCUCAUGAAUAAGGACCGGCUAAUUCCGUGCC